UCUGUGAGCCUCCCCAUUGUGGCUGGCUCCAUUGCUAUGAGCUCCUUUACUCCCUGUGUCUGUUUACGGCUGAAGUAAAAUUACGGAAGUAUAUCUGUGUAUUUUUCCAGCUUUUGGUUCCAAACUAAGAAAGGGCUGUGCUUCCAAGAGUAUCUACUCUAGGGGAUUUUUCCUGUCUUGACUUUUAAGCAGAGUAUUUUCAAUGAGAAGCACCAGCGUCAGUUUUCACUAAAUAAAAGACAUCGUUAGGAUGAAAAAUGUGCCGCCACCUCUCUCAUUUCUUUGAUUUUGGAGCCUCCUUUGCC